AUCUUUUUGUUUUUAAAAGACCUUCUUACGAAGGUAUGCUUAAAGAGGGGCUUGCGCCACAUUAGUUAGUUGGUAGAGUAAAAGCCUACCAAGACGAUGAUGUGUAGCUGGACUGAGAGGUUGAACAGCCACAUUGGGACUGAGACACGGCCCAAACUCCUACGGGAGGCAGCAGUAGGGAAUUUUCGGCAAUGGAGGAAACUCUGACCGAGCAACGCCGCGUGAACGAUGAAGUAUUUCGGUAUGUAAAGUUCUUUUAUUGAAGAAGAAAAAGUAGUGGAAAAACUAUAUUGACGUUAUUCAAUGAAUAAGCCCCGGCUAACUAUGUGCCAGCAGCCGCGGUAAGACAUAGGGGGCGAGCGUUAUCCGGAAUUAUUGGCGUAAAGGGUGCGUAGGCUGUUAGAUAAGUCUAUAAUUUAAUUUCAGUGCUUAACGCUGUCUUGUUAUAGAAACUGUCUUGACUAGAGUGAGAUAGAGGCAAGCGGAAUUCCAUGUGUAGCGGUAAAAUGUGUAAAUAUAUGGAGGAACACCAGAAGCGUAGGCGGCUUGCUGGGUCUUUACUGACGCUGAGGCACGAAAGCGUGGGUAGCAAACAGGAUUAGAUACCCUGGUAGUCCACGCCGUAAACGAUGAGUACUAAGUGUCGGGGUAAAACUCGGUACUGAAGUUAACACAUUAAGUACUCCGCCUGAGUAGUACGUACGCAAGUAUGAAACUUAAAGGAAUUGACGGGACUCCGCACAAGCGGUGGAUCAUGUUGUUUAAUUCGAAGAUACACGAAAAAUCUUACCAGGUCUUGACAUACUCUGCAAAGCUAUAGAAAUAUAGUGGAGGUUAUCAGGGAUACAGGUGGUGCAUGGUUGUCGUCAGUUCGUGUCGUGAGAUGUUAGGUUAAGUCCUAAAACGAACGCAACCCUUGUCGUUAAUUGCCAGCACAUAAUGGUGGGGACUUUAACGAGACUGCCAAUUAAACAUUGGAGGAAGGUGAGGAUUACGUCAAAUCAUCAUGCCCCUUAUGAUCUGGGCUACAAACGUGAUACAAUGGCUGUGACAAAGAGUGGAAGAAACGCGA
rnacentral:rRNA from 1 species